rnacentral:lncRNA from 14 species
CCCAGAAUUUCUUUUUACCUUCUCAAACUCUAGUUGCAACGUAAGAUCUCUAGGUUCAUGAAACUAACCUGUUCUUUUGCACACUAGGUCUGGAUUCUGCUUAUAUUUCUUGUUAUUUCUAGAGUCCUCAGAUGGAGAUGGCUCAUGCUAUGGUUGAUACUGCCGUCAACACAGACAGCUGGUUAAUGGAGACAGUCCACAAGGAAGAAGCAGACAGCAGACAGCAGGAUGCUGAAACUGAGGCUCUUUUUAAACACAAACAUGGUCUUUUGGAGUCCAGAGUGGCAGAAGCUCCAAUCCACCAUUCCCAAGGGAACCCAUCCAUGGGAACCAGUGCUUUGGUUCCUUUCAGGUGCCGAAGCUUCUUUGACCAAGUGAAUCAAUCGCUACAGAAAGACAGCCUGACCAUCAGAUCAGCUCUGCGUACACAGAGGCCACACAGCACCUCCAGUGUGCAGCUUAGGAGAUCCACAACUCUCAGUCUUCUAAAAGACAAAAGCAUUACAAAAUCAAUCCUUAAUGGUGCAUCUCAAGAGAGAUGGAAGGAGAUGGACUUCAACAGAGCCAAGAUUGAGCACAAAAGACGGCAAGAGGAACAGAGGCAGCGGAAGAGGGAGCAGGAGCAAGAUGCAGAUGGCAUCCGACGCCAGCUGCGCAGGGACAGUCAGAGGCAGCGAUUGCGUCAGAGAAUAUUGCAGGAGCUGGAGAAACGGCUGGAGCAAGAAAAGAGAGCUUUGCAGCACAUGGCACUGCUCCAGGCUGCUAGGGCAGAGAGGAGCAGGAAGGAAUCCUUCUUGCCAGAGGAGGAGAAGAGGAAGGCAAGUCAGAGAUUGCAGUUCUUAAAGACACAGCGUGUGCAGAGAGAGGAGCUGCAGGCAAAACGCAAUGAAAGGAGCUUUGAACAAGAGAAAGAAAGGCUGGAUUUUCUCAGGAGCAGAAUGCAGUCACGGCAGGAAAUGUUGGAACAAGAAUCACGGGAGCAGGACAGGCAACAAAAAAAGCAGCAGGCUGCCAAAGGGAGAGUGUUCCAGAGCAGAGACCGUUCAUGCCAGAAGGUGGAGAGAGAAGGCCAGAAACUCAGUGACCUCCAGCAGUACCUCAGAGAACAGAAUCUUUUGAUGCUCCGGGCAUCUCUACUAGCAUAAGGAAGCUGCAGAGUGG